UUCCAAGGUGCUGCUUCCAUAGAGAAUAGCUUCCUGGCAAAAGACGGUUGGUGCAACCUAUAGUCAAACUGUGCGAUAUUCCUGGACCAUCGCUUGAAUAUGCCCAUGGCACAUCAAAUAUCGCCACAUUUCCGGGUAGAGCAGCUCAAAUCACACAGCAUCAGCACCUGAAUUGUGUACUCCGAAAAAAUUAAAGAUGAUAUUCUGGACAGCCCUUUUACAGCUGUCACCAGUACAAAUUCUGCAAGUGUCACACAGUUUCGAGGGUAAGGAGACUUAAUUCGAAAGCAGUAAGAGAUUUUCACAGCAGAAGCAUUUGUCGCAUCGCAACUAAAUUUUGUAUUAGGGCGUAAAAAAUUUGGUACAUCGCCAACAGGUGAGAAACCUAUAUAUAAUUAUGUUAUCCAUACACAUACCUAAAUAUGUAUCUGCAUUAGUAAUUGUACUAAAUUAAUGAAUUUGGAAUGUUACUUUGAAUUAGGUAUUUGUUUAAUUUCUGAAUUUUUGAUUCAUAAUAUGAUUUUGCUUCUUGAGCAAAUGUUUCUGGUUCCUAUAACAAACACCUUUCACAAUAUAAUGGUACUUGGCG